UUGCCAAGAAAUUAGACAUCUUUCCUCAAUUGCCUCAUGCCCUAGGGGCAGAUAUACACACUUGGGUUCUGGAUGACAAGUUUUAUUGCCUAGGUGGUUUAGAACCACCACCAUCACCAUGGGCCAUGGCUUUUGACCCGAGCCUAAAUCAAUGGGAGUCUCUACCUAACCCUGCUCCUAUUCCGCCUUUUCCAAUUAUGAUUACAUGUAUAUUCUCUGCAGCUAUACGUGUUCCCAAGCUAUGUAUUGUGGUGGGUUGGCCCGAGGAUCGUGUCCUCUGAAGAUACGAAGUUAAUACCAAAAAAAUGGGUGAGUGAAGGGUUUGAAAUACCCAAGACCCGGUUCUUUGGUCCAAAUGACUUAAUGGGACUGCAUUGGCUGUUGACAGCAUGUUGUAUUGGUAUUCAGCUCGACACACCACUGCAUGCCUAAUUGGGAAUGAUUUAAUGAGAAAGACAUGGUUCAUGGGCAAGUUCAAUGUCCAUGACUAUGGACGGUCUUACAUACCUGAGCAUACUGGUCCUCUUCCUCCUCAUCCUCCUCCUCCAAGCUUGGCCCAUCUAGGCAGUGAUAAGUUUUGCUUGUUUUGGUUUUCUGUGGUGAUGUGUCAUCCCAAGCCAACAACCAUAACUGCGGAGGAUUCCUUGAUCGAGGACGAGGAUGAGGACAUAGAGGAGGAGGAUGACGUGGUUAAGGAAGAGGAGGACAAGGAGGACAACGAGUACGUGGAGGAGGUGGAGAACGAAUCUCUUCGCAUUCACUGCAUGAAGCUCCAAGUUACCAAUGGUAGCCGUCGCUCAAGAAGUGGAAUAUUCCCCUUGGAAAUCUGUUCCAUCUCAUGCCAAUCUUACUUGGUUGCAGAGAGUGUAACUUAUUUCUGUGAUGGCUCGGUGGUUUAAUUUGAGUAGCUGAUUCGAAGAUGAUUUGCCGCACGGCACAGUGGAAGAUGGGGAGCCUAGCUGCUGAUUGGGCAAGGAAUGUCGUUUACUUUUUUGACUCAGAAGAUGGACUUGCCAGCUGUUAUUUCACAUGAAUGGCUAGAUAAAGCUUUUAACUUAAUCCAGUGUUGGUAAAAUAUGCCUAUCCUCUUGGGAUUUACUUCCUUGUGUUGAUGAUUUUAGUGAAUGUGUAUGGCUGUUAUAAUAUCUUCAUUCAUACUUGCUGCAUCGAGUAUAUCUUUGCUGUAAUUUUUCCCCAACUAAUCUCCAAAGUCCUUUGGAGAUGCACUGAUGAGAAACUAUAUAUAUACACUAUGUAAUGUUGGUU